GACGAACGCUGGCGGCGUGCUUAACACAUGCAAGUCGAACGGAAAGGCCCUGCUUUUGUGGGGUGCUCGAGUGGCGAACGGGUGAGUAACACGUGAGUAACCUGCCCUUGACUUUGGGAUAACUUCAGGAAACUGGGGCUAAUACCGGAUAGGAGCUCCUGCUGCAUGGUGGGGGUUGGAAAGUUUCGGCGGUUGGGGAUGGACUCGCGGCUUAUCAGCUUGUUGGUGGGGUAGUGGCUUACCAAGGCUUUGACGGGUAGCCGGCCUGAGAGGGUGACCGGCCACAUUGGGACUGAGAUACGGCCCAGACUCCUACGGGAGGCAGCAGCGGGGAAUAUUGCACAAUGGGCGGAAGCCUGAUGCAGCAACGCCGCGUGCGGGAUGACGGCCUUCGGGUUGUAAACCGCUUUCGCCUGUGACGAAGCGUGAGUGACGGUAAUGGGUAAAGAAGCACCGGCUAACUAUGUG
rnacentral:rRNA from 1 species